CGCUCCACUGGAAAGGGUGUGUCAUCUGUGAGCCUUCAAUGUAAAUGCCCACUGUUCUGAUUGGCUGACAUCUUAGCAUAUGAAAUGAGCAUUACUUUUGGAUCUCUUGGAACUUGUUUAUUACAUACAAUAAUGACACAUUAAGGGAUGUAUCAAGUGGAAAUUGGGACAUCGCUUUCAAAUCUGGGCAUUUCAGAAGGGCAGAAAGGAAAAAUGCACAAUACUCAACUACUCAAUGCUCAAUACUGUUUAUUACUUACUAUCAACUUAAUUUAAAGGUUGGCAAUGUCAAAAUUCAACAUAUAUUACAGUAUACAGAUCUUUGGGGGCAGCUGUGGCCUAAUGGUUAGAGAGCUGGACUAGUUACCAGAAGGUUGCCGGUUUGAGUCUCGGUGCCAGCAGGAGUUGUAGGUGGGGGGAAGUGAAAUAACAGCGCUCUCUUCCACCCUCAAUACCCAUGGCUGAAGUGCCCUUGAGCAAGCCACUGAACCCCCAGUCGCUCCCCGGGUGCUGGAUAUAUAGCUGCCCACUGCUCCGGGUGUGUGUUCACUUCUCAUUGCUGUGUGUGUGCACUUGGAUGGGUUAAAUGCAGAGCACCAAUUCCGAGUAUGGGCUGCCAUAAUUGGCAAAUGUCAUGACUUUCACUUUCACUCCAUAAGUAGGGUUGGGUAUUGUUGGAAAUUUUCAGAUUCCGGUAAUGUUGAGUAAUGCUAGUCGAUCAAUCAGCAUGUGCUUUAAAGUUGAUGAUUUUUACAUUUUUUACAUUUUUACUAUCAAUAACAUUUUGCUUUUCAAGCAGGAAUAAACUGGUUGGCCAAAUAGUCCCUUGAGGGAUAAGACACUUGUUAUUUCCCUAAAUUAAUGAAAUAUAAACUGUUAUACUUAUAACCAUGUAUACACACACUCCAUAAAGCCCCUAUUUUACAAAUAAUAAUGCAGUCAGAAUAUGGUGUGAUGCAAUGAGUGGUGUCCACAUUUUUUAAACAUUUAAACUGCAUAAAAAUAAAUAUUUUCUAUCACUCUGUUUGUCACUCUUGAACUGACCUGUACACUAAAUAAUGUAACGCUCAUACUUACAUAACAAUAGCAGUCUAUUUAUUUACUGGUCUAAGUUGAAGUCAGUAUAUAUAUUAAUGAGAAUAUGGGACAAAUAUAAUGUAAUUUAGUGGCAGCAGGAGCUGCGCGCUGAUGGUACAUGUACAGUCAUACAAAAGGACGUGCACAGUUAUCAAAGGCGCAAGUGCGCGUACAGUCGUGAGAAAUAUGUGUUCGGUAGUUAAAGACGCGGCGCAUCUGUGGAGUGCGCGUCAUUAGAAACAAUGUGCUCAAUAAUUAAAGAGGUAGGGCGGCUGGCGUUUCUGUUGUUUAGUUUGUGACAUCCUUUACGGGAAACGCCGAAUCGUCAGAACACCGGCGCAAGGCUGCUCACAGCGCUUGAUCAUGUGUCGCACCAGAACCGUUUUCGGAACCAAAACUUAGAAAUUGCUUACUGUUCCGAUUCUUUUCAAAGAACAGAACUGGUUCUCGGUUCCCAACUCUACUCGGCGAGUCGGCGGCCAUCUUUGAAAUGCCUCUUGAUUUUCCCAAUCAAAUCAAUAAAAACAAGGAACUAAAACCUUUUUUUUUCACUCAGUUAUAGGAAAAACAUCUCUUGCAUUGCAAAUUAUUUGUGGCUAAAAUCAUAAUCAGCUCUCCAAAAAUCAAGAACGCUUGGCGACCCCCAGGUUAGGGAACACAGCGCCAUCCUUUUCCUCCUGUAAACCUUUCCGGAUCCAAUUUGCUGUCUCUGUUAUUGAUAGAAGCUGUGCAAUACUUUAAUUCUGCCCUCAUUUUAGCAUAUUAGCGCCUCCAAGCACAGCAGCUCAUUAAUCAGCGUGUGCAGAUGCUCCUAGCAGCCCGCAGUACUACUGUUCUUACAGGGCCGAGUCAAUGGAUCUCUCUGUAGGAGGCCGAGAGAGAGUGAGUGCUCACUGUGAGGGCUCACUGUGAGAGAGAAGAGAAGGGGCAUUGAAAAU
ensembl:lncRNA